GAGGCGUCGAGCGGCGGACGGGUGAGUAACGCGUGAGAAUCUACCCAUGAGUGGGGGACAACCCGGGGAAACUCGGGCUAAUACCGCAUACGCCCUACGGGGUAAAGCAGGGGACCUUCGGGCCUUGCGCUGAUGGAUGAGCUCGCGUCGGAUUAGCUUGUUGGUGAGGUAAAGGCUCACCAAGGCGACGAUCCGUAGCUGGUCUGAGAGGAUGAUCAGCCACACCGGGACUGAGACACGGCCCGGACUCCUACGGGAGGCAGCAGUGGGGAAUCUUGGACAAUGGGGGCAACCCUGAUCCAGCCAUGCCGCGUGUGUGAAGAAGGCCUUCGGGUUGUAAAGCACUUUCAGUAGGGAGGAAGGCUUACCCCUAAUACGGGUGAGUACUUGACGUUACCUACAGAAGAAGCACCGGCUAAUUUCGUGCCAGCAGCCG
rnacentral:rRNA from 1 species